UACGGAGGGUGCAAGCGUUAUCCGGAUUUACUGGGUUUAAAGGGUGCGUAGGAGGGCAGGUAAGUCAGUGGUGAAAUCUUCGAGCUUAACUCGGAAACUGCCGUUGAUACUAUCUGUCUUGAAUACCGUGGAGAUGAGCGGAAUAUGUCAUGUAGCGGUGAAAUGCUUAGAUAUGACAUAGAACACCAAUUGCGAAGGCAGCUCGUUACACGAAUAUUGACUCUGAGGCACGAAAGCGUGGGGAUCAAACAGG
rnacentral:rRNA from 1 species